GACGAACGCUGGCGGCGUGCUUAACACAUGCAAGUCGAGCGGUAAGGCCCUUUCGGGGGUACACGAGCGGCGAACGGGUGAGUAACACGUGGGUGACCUGCCCUCAGCUCUGGGAUAAGCCUGGGAAACCGGGUCUAAUACCGGAUAUGACUCCAUGACGCAUGUUGUGGGGUGGAAAGCCUUGUGCGGCUGAGGAUGGGCCCGCGGCCUAUCAGUUUGUUGGUGGGGUGAUGGCCACCAAGGCGACGACGGGUAGCCGGCCCGAGAGGGCGACCGGCCACACUGGGACUGAGACACGGCCCAGACCCCUACGGGAGGCAGCAGUGGGGAAUCUUGCGCAAU
rnacentral:rRNA from 1 species